GUGGAUUAGAUACCCCGGUAGUCCACGCCGUAAACGAUGAUUACUCGUUGUUGGCGAUAUAUUGUCAGCGACUGAGCGAAAGCAAUAAGUAAUCCACCUGGGGAGUACGGCGGCAACGCUGAAACUCAAAGGAAUUGACGGGGGCCCGCACAAGCGGAGGAACAUGUGGUUUAAUUCGAUGAUACGCGAGGAACCUUACCUGGGUUUAAAUGUAGGAUGACCGUUCCCGAAAGGGGAUUUCCCGCAAGGGCAUUUUACAAGGUGCUGCACGGCUGUCGCCAGCU
rnacentral:rRNA from 1 species